GUGCUCACUUCGGCUGCACAUAUACUAAAAUUGGAACAAUACAGAGAGGAUUAGCGUAACCCCUGAGCAAGGAUGACAUGCAAAUUCAUGAAGCAUUCCAUAUUUUU